rnacentral:tRNA from 10 species
GGAGAGAUGGCUGAGUGGUUGAAAGCACCGGUCUUGAAAACCGGCGAAGGUUUGUAGCCUUCCUAGGGUUCAAAUCCCUAUCUCUCCGCCA